rnacentral:rRNA from 1 species
GACAGAGGGUGCAAACGUUGUUCGGAAUUACUGGGCGUAAAGAGCGCGCAGGCGGUCGUGCAAGUCGCGUGUGAAAGCCCCCGGCUCAACUGGGGAGGGUCACGCGAUACUGCUCGACUCGAAGGCAGGAGAGGGUAGUGGAAUUCCCGGUGGUAGUGGUGAAAUGCGUAGAUAUCGGGAGGAACACCAGUGGCGAAGGCGACUACCUGGCCUGUUCUUGACGCUGAGGCGCGAAAGCUAGGGGAGCAAACGGG